rnacentral:lncRNA from 1 species
AAAGACAAAAUAGAAAAGAAAUUGGAUAACAACAAAACAAAUAUGUGCUUACAUAUAAAAAGUUCUGUUAGCAACAGAAGUAGUAGGGACAACAGCAGCAGCAGUUUUGUCACCACUACCACUGCUCUUUCUGAUAAAAGUAAAGUAAGUGCCGUACGAAAAAAAAUGAAUAAAGAUAACAAUAGUGUUAUCUCUUCUACCGUACAUGAAAAAAAGGAAAGCAUAAUUCAUAAUAAAAAUAGUAAAAAUAAUAAUAAUAAUAAUAAUAAUAACAAUAAUAACAAUAAUAGCAAUAAUAACAAUAAUAACAAUAAUAACAAUAAUAACAAUAAUAACANNNNNNNNNNUAAUAACAAUAAUAACAAUAAUAACAAUAAUAACAAUAAUAACAAUAUGUUGUCAAGUUAUACUGAUAAACAUAUUCUUGAAAAUGUAAGAAAAAAAAACGAUACCAAUUUAAAAGUAGAUAUAAAAAAAAGUAAAAAUUGUCAGAAUGUUAAAGAAGGAAGAGAUAAUGUACAAAUGAAAUUGAAAAAUAAUAAACACGCAGCAGGCGAAGGGGAAGGAGAUAAAGAAGAAGGCACAAAUAUAAUAAAAGAAAAAAAAAAGAAUACUAUCACGGGCACAAAAAAGGUAAAAACUGAAGAAGGCGUUGUAAAAGUAAAGGGGCAAGAUCAAAAAUUAGUUAUAAUUGAUAGUGACAUAACUAAUAAAACUUAUGGUGAUAAUGGUACAUACGAUGAUAAAAACGUAUAUAAUAUAAAAAAUAAAAAUAAAAUAAACGAUUCAUCAUAUAAUAAAAUACAAAAUAUAUCUGAUAUUAACAUUGAAAAAGAAAACGUUAUACAAAAAAAACAAUUAGAAAAGCAACAAAUACAUAUUGAUGAGAUUCUAAGAAUUAAGGCAAAUAACAGACAUCUAACUAUUAAAAGGGCAAUAGAAAUAUAUAUGAGACACCUGAAAAAAAAUAAUAAACGUGAUACUGUUAACCCUCAACAUUUAUACGAUAUGAUGAAUUAUUAUUUGAAUGAAAAAAGAAAAGAAGAAAAAGAAAACGCCAAAAAUGAAAAUAAAAAUGAUACUUAUGAUAUAUUAUCAAAUAAAAAAAAAGAAUCUUUAGAUAAAAACGAAGCAGAACAGAUAAAUAAAUGUUAUGAAGAUAAAGUAGAAAAUAGCGAAAUUGCAAAAGACGAAAUUAAAAAAACUGAAAGUAUUAAUAGUAAUAUUAAAGGAAACAAAAAAAAAAAAAAAAAACAUUUUUUGG